UACGUAGGUGGCGAGCGUUAUCCGGAAUUAUUGGGCGUAAAGAGCGCGCAGGUGGUUAAUUAAGUCUGAUGUGAAAGCCCACGGCUUAACCGUGGAGGGUCAUUGGAAACUGGUUGACUUGAGUGCAGAAGAGGGAAGUGGAAUUCCAUGUGUAGCGGUGAAAUGCGUAGAGAUAUGGAGGAACACCAGUGGCGAAGGCGGCUUCCUGGUCUGUAACUGACACUGAGGCGCGAAAGCGUGGGGAGCAAACAGG
rnacentral:rRNA from 1 species